AACGAACGCUGGCGGCACGCCUAACACAUGCAAGUCGAACGAAGCAUAAGAGCUUGCUCUUAUGACUGAGUGGCGCACGGGUGAGCAACACGUGGGAAUCUGCCUAUUGGUGGGGAAUAACUAUUGGAAACGAAAGCUAAUACCGCAUAAGCCCUAAGGGGGAAAGAUUUAUCGCCAAUAGAUGAGCCCGCGCUAGAUUAGCUAGUUGGUGAGGUAAGAGCUCACCAAGGCUACGAUAUAUAGCUGGUCUGAGAGGAUGGUCAGCCACACUGGGACUGAGACACGGCCCAGACUCCUACGGGAGGCAGCAGUGGGGAAUAUUGGACAAUGGGGGAAACCCUGAUCCAGCGAUGCCGCGUGAGUGAAGAAGGCCUUCGGGUUGUAAGGCUCUUUCAGAGGGGAUGAUAAUGACGGCACCCUCAGAAGAAGCACCGGCUAACUUCGUGCCAGCCGCCGCAGUAA
rnacentral:rRNA from 1 species